CGCAGAAUAGCCGAGUGGUUAACACGCUAGCCUAUAAAGCUGAAGCUCAAAGGUUCGAAUCUUGCCAAUGCCC